UUCUUAUUUUCGUCUCUCUUUCUUUGUUCUUUCCUCUGAGCGCUUUCUUUCAAGCACUUAUCUCUCUAUAUAUAGAGACCUCUCUCCGUUGGAUACUAAAAGGAGUUCAUGGUAACAAGUUUUGUUUAGAGAAUAAGAAUAGUAGUCGAAUCUGCUGAGAGAAAUGGAACGAGGCAAAGGAACCAAGUCUUCUUCUUCAUCUCAACUCUUUGGCUCAAAAGUGUCACCUUCAUCUCCUUCAAGGAUUUUAGAGUCUCUAUUUCCUACUCAACCUAAGGUUCCAGGAGGAGAGUCUCUGGUGGGCAGAGGCAGGAUUCCCCGAAUGAGCCAUUGAAUGCAAAUCCUGGAAACUCUGAACUGAGUUCCAUUUAUCCGCAGCAAUGCGCACAACCAUGUCAUCUGAGUUCAUCGAUCUACUAUGGCGGCCAAGACGUAUGCCCUCGCCCCAGACUAAG